AAAAGUUCACGAUGUGAGUCUCCACAUGCUGCUCUCUGUCUGAAUGGGAGCUGCAGUUUAGUCCUGCCUCAUAUCUGCCAUUUUCCCCAACCUGUCUCCAUUCCUGUUUUUAGCAAUAGGAAGACUCACAGAGAUACAGCAGCCUAGACUUCAACCAGCUUGUCAUCUCCAAUCAAUUAUUUGUGGAUACAUUGAGCACUGUGCUGACAGGCUCAGCUUUAAUGUCAUGAUCUGUAAUAGAACAUGUUCUUACUUCUGGAAACUGCAAAGCUGGAAGGGAUCUUAGAGGUGAUAUGGUUCCUCCUUCUCAUUUUAUACAUGAAGGAACUCAGGUCUAAGAUGCUUAGUAUUGCUCCCACUCAAGGUUCACAGCAGCAGAACAAAAAGUAAUUUACAUUUGUUGAUUCUUAAUUUAAUACUUUUAUAAUGUGGCAGAAAAAACAGCAUCAUAAAAGUUUAAGAUUCUACAGUGUCUCCAGUUAAUUCUAUCCAAAAAUAAAAAAUUAAAAUAGGAGGUUUGUUGGCCAAUAACAAAAGAAUGGAGGCAGCAAAGCUGGAAAUAUAUGCCCAAUCAACUUGGAGACAUUGUCUUAAAUUUAUCGCCAAUCUUCUGGGAUAUAUUGAAUGGAUAUACAGCUAUAAGCUGCCCUCUUUAAACUAAACACUGCACUAUAUUCUUGCCCUUUAUAACAACUUCCUCAGUGAAACCUGCCCUGUGAUUAUAUCCUCCUCAUCUGUCCCAAGAGAAUAAGGCAAAAAUAUUAUUAAAACCUUAGCUUUUUUCAGUGUCAUCUCUUAAAUAUAUCUGUUUCUGACUCAUAGGCAGUAUUUUCCUUUUAUCUAUUUCUUACUCAUAUGAAUGAAGCUUUAAAGAAAAUUUUACACUGAUGCAUGCCUCCAACUUGCCUCAGGUAAAAUGAAUGAGACAACAUCUACACAGCACUUUGAGCUCCCCAGACAGGGACAUCAGAAAUGAGCAGUAGCCUUGCUCUUGUCAAAGAUAUCAACUGAGCCUGGCAAGACUCCAAACCAUAGAAUAACUUUCCUGACCCCUCAUCUGUAUCUCUCAACUAGAUACAGAAUUGAAAAUAGGAACCAGUCAUUUGGGGUAAAACAUAUGCCAAAAUAGUUCUGCAGCGUGGGUAAGAAAAAGGGUGAGAUGUGCAAAGGGGAAGCUCUCUGAAAGCAGAGAAUAUAAUUAAGUCAACUUUCAAAUUCAAAUGUACUUCUUCCUUUCCCACAUGUUCUAAAUCAGACCUCUUUCCCAUAGGGCUGCAGAUGGUGCCUCUAGGGCUGGCUGUCACUGAUCUCUGAAGGGUAAAACUGAACUGAAACCUACAAGCUUCACACCUGUGGGGUCAGCUUCAUUAACAACUUUGACCUUUGCUCGUUUUUAAGAGCUGCCCCAACAAAUAUCACUGCAAACAAGGUGCACCCUGACUCUUUGGUGAUAUAUCACCUUCUCUUUUCACCUUGACCCUUUGGUCAUAUAUCACCUGACCCUUUGGUGAUACAUUACCUUCUUGGCAAUCUAAUUUUAAGUCUCACUUCAUGUUAAUCCAGGACAGGGAUCUUAAGUCAGUCUUGAACUCUCUUUGUAAAACCUAAGGGAGGUUUAACUACUAAUUUACUGCUUGGACCUCAAUUAACAUCUGUUUUUAAAAAUCACUUAACAUUGCCACAAAAUAAUAGUUCUAUGCUUCUCUGACAGAUUUCAUCACCUCAGUUUUCCAACUUUUGACCCAACUACAGUUAAAGCAUGAAAAAGACACAUUGGUAAGGCCAGCUAGUGGUCACGUCACACAUAAAUUACCACUUUCUACUGUAGGAACUGUCUCCAUCUGUAGGAAAAACCUGGAGAAUCCUGUAAAUAGCAGAAAUAUUAUAACAAAUCUUUGGUGAAUGGAGGAAAGUGGUGGAAUUAAAGGUAGAACUAUCAGAAAUUACUUAAAAAAAAAAAAGGACUUGUGAGGCUUGUCCACAAUACUUAUCCCCAUUUUACACAAUAAAAAACCUAGACACAAAGAGGUUAACUUGCCCAACUUAUACAACUAAAUUAUAAAGAUUCCUAUAAAUAUAUUCUCAAUAUGUGAAGCACAUUAUACACUUUAUUGAAGCAUUUAGUAUUUAGUGAUUAUCAUUCUAACAAUGUAGGAGAAUAUACUUUAAGAAAUACGGAGCAAAAUCAUUCAUUUUGAGCAAGGCCUUGGGUUGGCAGUGAAUCAAGAUGACAGCUUUACUAUUUAAGAACAGCUCUUUGAAUUGUAGAAAUAGUCCUUAAUCACAGGACAAACUUGGCUCCAUGGUGGAAAAGAUUGUUUUGUUUUAAUUCCAAAUAUCUAUUAAGUACCUACUGCUAGUCCCCAGUACUGUGCUGAUAUGCCACAGAUGUGCCCAUCCCUUCUUUUUGCAAAAUUUUGAAAAUCUAAUAAGGGUAGAGAAAUAACCAACUUUUAUGUUUUAUUCUGCAUUACAAUUCAAUGCAGAAUCAAAAGAUUUCCAAAUAGAGCUACAAGCGAGCAGCAUUUGGAACCCCAAGGAAGGAGCAUGAUGACCCAGGAAAAUGUCAAGAAUUGGAUGUUGAACAUUAGCCUUUCAGCCACAAUCACAGACAGGAGCACUGUCUUCCAAAAUAAAGAAUAAGCCUGUUAUUUCCUGUGCAGCCUGUGUAUCUGCAGCCAUCUGGGCAAAACAGAGCUGCUGCAGUAGACAAGCAAGAUCGUCCUAUGAAGAGAAACAGGAAUCCACUGCUGAUGCUAAUUUCUCUGAGAAGACUACUGGUCAGUUCUACCUGGCAUGCAGCUUCCUUCUCUUUGACAACAACAAAGACUAUUUUAAUCUUCCUGGCAUCAGCGCUUUGUCGUAAUCUGAAGGACAAGAAGAUGCAGUAAAGCAACAAUAAGUAACUAUGACCUCAUAUGUGGAGCCUAGAAUUAUAAGAAAAGAGUCAGAAAUACACUCCAUAUUGUCAUCUUUCUUUGUACGUGCUCAUAUGUGGGACACAUACAGGUCGAUGGGCAAAUCAGGUGCCAAGCAAAAUAGAUUACAUAAGAUUCUGAAUUAGGUACAGGUUUGUGACUUUGGUGGCUAACUCACUUGAAUCUGACAUGUAGCAGCUCUCAGCCUCAGUCUCCCUCAGAUAUUUGAAGCCUUACUGUAAAAGAUUCAAACACUACAGAGGCUUCAGAAGUGCUAGACUCUUCCUUCACCUCUUACAUUUUUACCCCCACACCGAACGAGGAUUGAACUGUUAAUAAUUUGUUGGGUUUCUGUGAAGACCUUUUCUUCUUCUUCUUUUUUUUAAUUUGACAGGGUCUUGCUUUGUUGCCCAGGCUAGAGUGCGAUAGCAAGAUCUCAGCUCACUGCAACCUCUAUCUCCCAGGCUCAAGGGAUCCUCCCACCUCCCCCUCACAAGUCAAGUAGCUAGGACCACAGGCACAUAUCACCAUGCCUAGCUAAUUUUUUAAUUUUUUAGAGUCGAGGUCUCACUUAUUGCCCAGACUGGUCUCAAACUCCUGGGCUCCAGAGAUCCUCCUGCUUCAGCCUCCCAAAGUGCUGGGAUUACAGGAGUGAGCCACCAGUGUGGUGGUGGCUAGUCCUUUUUUUAUGUCACCACUUGGAUAUAAAUAUAGAGAAAACCUUGAUCUUCUUAUUGUAUUAAUGGAGAAAUACAGCUUUGGUGAUUAUGGUAGAUUACAUGGUUGUUGCCUACUAUUGGGUCCCUUCUUAAAAGGAUAGCACACAUCCUUGUCUAUUGCAAUAUGAUUUGCAGUUCCUCCCAAUAUGUACAUCUGAGAGAGUGGAAAUUUACAUAGGCAAUUUGAACUUCCCAUCUGGAUCUCAGAGAAGUCUGAAAUAAAGUGAUGUAAAAAUUUGGGGGUUGUCAUAUGAAUGAUGGUGCUGUUCUCUAAAUCAGGGAACCAUGGAGAUGGGCCACCAUACCAGUUACUGUGACUAUGUAUAAAUAAAAAGUGCUUUUCCUUCUACGUUAACACUAAACACAUCCCACUUCACUUCUGACACCAGAUGUGUCGGGGGUUCCCCACACACCAAGCAAUUCUCCAUCAGACACCAAUUGGGUGUCCUAUAAUUUAACUCAAUUCUGACACUAUCUCCUUGGAGUUAGAGUCAGAUCCCACAGGUUAAGGGCUCAGUCCCACAAGAUUUCCCCAACUUCAGAUGCCAAUUGCAAGUAGUAGGUUGUCACCUACACUUCCGACAAACUAGAUAUACAUCAACGUUCCCAAAACCCCCUUCUUCAAUUUGCUAGAAUGGCUCACAGAAUUCAGCAAAA
rnacentral:lncRNA from 10 species